rnacentral:lncRNA from 1 species
UGAGCUGUCAUGCUCGCUAGGCGAAGCCCACGUGUUUUGAAAAAAAAAAUGAAAAACGAAAGAAAAAAUUAAAUAAAUAAAUAAAAAAAAAAAAUCUUGGACUUGGACCUCUCUCAUUUGAGCCCACAGGUCCACAAAAAUCAGGUUAUAAAUUCAAAGUUUCAGUGAAACAAAAUUUCAUUCUAUUCCUAUUACCCUGGAUGGAG